rnacentral:rRNA from 1 species
CGACGUAUGCAACCUGCCUCCAACUGGGGAAUAGCCCCUCGAAAGAGGGAUUAAUACCGCAUAACAUAAUGAGUAGGCAUCUACUUAUUAUUAAAACUACGGUGGUUGGAGAUGGGCAUGCGUGACAUUAGCUAGUUGGUGAGGUAAUGGCUCACCAAGGCUACGAUGUCUAGGGGGUCUGAGAGGAUGUCCCCCCACACUGGUACUGAGAUACGGACCAG